GACGAGGGAUCCUAGCGUUGUUCGGAAUUACUGGGCGUAAAGCGCGUGUAGGCGGCAACGCAAGUCGGGCGUGAAAUCCCACGGCUCAACCGUGGAAGUGCACUCGAAACUGCAUAGCUAGAGUCCUGGAGAGGAAGGUGGAAUGCUUGGUGUAGAGGUGAAAUUCGUAGAUAUUCGGAGGAACACCAGUGGCGAAGGCGGCUCACUGGUCCGGUACUGACGCUGAGGUGCGAAAGCGUGGGGGAGCAAACAGG
rnacentral:rRNA from 1 species